rnacentral:rRNA from 1 species
AGUGAACGCUGGCGGUAGGCCUAACACAUGCAAGUCGAACGGCAGCACAGUAAGAGCUUGCUCUUACGGGUGGCGAGUGGCGGACGGGUGAGGAAUACAUCGGAAUCUACUUUUUCGUGGGGGAUAACGUAGGGAAACUUACGCUAAUACCGCAUACGACCUACGGGUGAAAGCAGGGGAUCUUCGGACCUUGCGCGGUUGAAUGAGCCGAUGUUGGAUUAGCUAGUUGGGGGGGUAAAGGCCCACCAAGGCGACGAUCCGUAGCUGGUCUGAGAGGAUGAUCAGCCACACUGGAACUGAGACACGGUCAAGACUCCUACGGGAGGCAGCAGUGGGGAAUAUUGGACAGUGGGCGCAAGCCUGAUCCAGCCAUACCGCGUGGGUGAAGAAGGCCUUCGGGUUGUAAAGCCCUUUUGUUGGGAAAGAAAAGCAGCAGGUUAAUACCCCGCUGUUCUGACGGUACCCAAAGAAUAAGCACCGGCUAACUUCGUG